rnacentral:rRNA from 1 species
UGAGGCGAACCGGGGGAACUGAAACAUCUAAGUACCCCGAGGAAAAGAAAUCAACCGAGAUUCCCCCAGUAGCGGCGAGCGAACGGGGAGCAGCCCAGAGCCUGAAUCAGUGUGUGUGUUAGUGGAAGCGUCUGGAAAGGCGCGCGAUACAGGGUGACAGCCCCGUACACAAAAAUGCACAUGCUGUGAGCUCGAUGAGUAGGGCGGGACACGUGGUAUCCUGUCUGAAUAUGGGGGGACCAUCCUCCAAGGCUAAAUACUCCUGACUGACCGAUAGUGAACCAGUACCGUGAGGGAAAGGCGAAAAGAACCCCGGCGAGGGGAGUGAAAAAGAACCUGAAACCGUGUACGUACAAGCAGUGGGAGCACGCUUCGGCGUGUGACUGCGUACCUUUUGUAUAAUGGGUCAGCGACUUAUAUUCUGUAGCAAGGUUAACCGAAUAGGGGAGCCGAAGGGAAACCGAGUCUUAACUGGGCGUUAAGUUGCAGGGUAUAGACCCGAAACCCGGUGAUCUAGCCAUGGGCAGGUUGAAGGUUGGGUAACACUAACUGGAGGACCGAACCGACUAAUGUUGAAAAAUUAGCGGAUGACUUGUGGCUGGGGGUGAAAGGCCAAUCAAACCGGGA